GCACACGCAACGGUCAGUGUGAACCGGAGUGACUUGACACAUCGCUGGCCAACCAAGAUGUAGCUACAAACAAAACGAAGUUAAAUGGUUCCAGUCUGACAUGAAGCGUUCAUCCGUGUAUACGGACCAUGGUGAAGACCCAGAAGUAGAGAACAAACUCUAAGGUGGACGGGCCGUGAGGCGGCGGGGGCUUGAAGUCCAACAAUAGGAUAUAAGCAAACAGGAUGAGGAACAUGAAGUACAUCAGCACGUUGCCUAGGAACGAGGUGACGGGCGCAAACCAGAACUCCCUCCAGCGCAGCAGUAUGAAGGGCUUCUUGGGAUUGGAGGAGGGGGCACUUUUCAGAUUGGCCCUUAGAGCAGCAUAUUCCUCGACAUCCUCUUCCCUGAAAGGAUAAGAACGGGAAUAAUUACUUAGUGUGUGUGCAUGGAUGAGUAUGUGUGUGUGUGCGUGCGUGUGUUUACGUUUGCGUGAUGUCGGCGAGGGAGAGCAUAGUGGCAUCUCUUCCGUCCAGACUCUCUGUGUCUCGACCAUGAGGUACCUCCUCCUCCUCCGACCCCACCUCUUCCUCAUGUUCCCUGAGAGAGAGAGAGAGACAGAGAUUGAUAAAUAAAUUAGAGACUGACAAGACAGUUUCACCACCAGCUUCUAAUUUCUCAAAUUCACCCCAUAUGAGGAGAAUAAGGAACGCUCCAUGUAUAAAAAAUGUGAACGAUAGAGAGAAGAUAGCCUGUAGUGAAAGGGAAGCAAAGAUGAAAAUAAGUCAGCAUUGCAAAUUGAAGAUUUGAACGAUAUUGUAAGAUAGGUGGUGAAGGAAAAGUUUAUUUAUUUUUUUACCUUUAUUUUACCAGGGAAGACAUAUUGAGACCUAGGUCUCUUUUUCAAAUGUGCCCAGCACAAUACAACACAAAUAUACACAUUAUACACAAAAUAUACAUAUGUGACCCGUUUCAGGACGCUAGGCAUAUGUCUUGCAUCUACUACAGAGGAGAGGCAUUUGAACGUAUUAUUUGUUUGGUUGUUGAUGAAAAUGCCUUCUGGAACAAGUGAACUUUCAUGUGCCUUAAUAACAAACUUGUAUGUCAUCUGUAAAUACGAAUACAAUUGUAAAACUAUGAGCCUAAUUGGUUUAGCCACAGAAAAAGGCAGGAACCUUCCCGCUAGCCAUGAUUGGCUGAGAUAAUGGAUGGGCUGGACAUGCCGAGAGAUGAGUUCAGAUUGCUCUGACAUGUAGCAUGCAUCAGACUAUAACAUGAGCUGCUCAUUAUGUGUAGAUAAUCCUAGUUCCGCUGAUUUUUUUAAAGAUAUAACGUUAGCCAUAGAGAACUGCAAAAGUGUUGCUCCUGCUCUCAACAACAUUGCUGCCCUGAAUUUAGUAGGCGCUAUCGACAAGGAUCAGUGGGAAAAAGUUGUGAUGGACUACUUUCUGCACAUGGUCAGUGUAAACCGGAGUGACUUAACACAACACAGCCCAAACAAGCUCUACAAACAAAACGGAAAUUACACAAGACUUCUUACUGAAAAGGGGUUCCAGUCUGCAGUGAAGCAUUUAUCCAUGUACAGUACAUGGGUAAGAGUCUAGAUACACUUUCAGAUGUUAUACGUUUCUAAUUUUGUCAAAGUCGUUUUCAUUACAAGUUAAAGCAUACUGGUUGAUAGCUAGCAAACGUUAGCUUGCUCUCUCGCUAGAUAAUGUUAUGUGCAUGAUCUGUGUAGUAAUAUUAUUAGUAUCUCAGAAAUCCAUUUGCAUUGCUAGUUAUAGCCUAAUGUUAGCUAGCUAACAUGAAACCUAGUUGGUUAGCUUUAGCUACCUGCAGAUUCAUACUACAGCAUUUCAUGCAUGGUGGCUAGCUAUGACAAUCUGUUUGUAUUACUAGUAGUACGGAUUGGGAUUGUGGUUUGUUGUUUAGCUAGCUAGCUACAAAUCUAAACAAAAGACUCUACUUCGCCAGAUGAUUACAUGACCCAUCAAGUUAGCCAGGUGUGUCUGGGGGUGACUACGGCCAUCUAUUGUAUUUCAUGAACAUGUGUACAUUUCUAGACAAUAACGUGUACACGUCUAGAUCUUGACAAAAGUGACCACUCCACUUAGCUAGAUGUGGCUGAGGGGUGGUUAUAAUUUAGACAAGUGUGUCUGGGUAAGCAUCAUCUAAUAAGUAACCAUUUCACUUGACCAUUUACACCUUCUGUAUCCUGUGCAUGUGACAAAAAAAACGUACAUUUUAUUUUAUAUAGUGUGUGUUUACCAGAGAUGGUAAUAUGAAGAACAAAAUGACCUGCACCAAAUUCAGAUUAGGAUAUAGGCCAAGGACUAGAUAAAGUGUAUUUUUACCUGGA